rnacentral:rRNA from 1 species
CCUACGGGAGACAGCAGUGGGGAAUAUUGGACAAUGGGGGAAACCCUGAUCCAGCGACGCCGCGUGAGUGAAGAAGUAUUUCGGUACGUAAAGCUCUAUCAGCAGGAAAGAAAAUGACGGUACCUGACUAAGAAGCCCCGGCUAACUACGUGCCAGCAGCCGCGGUAAUACGUAGGGGGCAAGCGUUAUCCGGAUUUACUGGGAGGAAAGGGAGCGUAGACGGCAGCGCAAGUCUGGAGUGAAAUGCCGGGGCCCAACCCCGGAACUGCUCUGGAAACUGUGAAGCUGGAGUGCAGGAGAGGUAAGCGGAAUUCCUGGUGUAGCGGUGAAAUGCGUAGAUAUCAGGAGGAACACCGGCGGCGAAGGCGGCUUACUGGACUGUAACGGACGUUGAGGCUCGAAGGCGUGGGGAGCAAACAGGAUUAGAUACCCCAGUAGUC